rnacentral:rRNA from 1 species
GAUGAACGCUGGCGGCGUGCCUAAUACAUGCAAGUCGAACGAAAAGACUCGAGGUUUGUGGCUUACUCGAGUGCCGCGCGGGUGAGUGUCACACGGGUGUAAUCUACCUAACUUAGUGAGAUACCUUGGGGACACGGGCUCAAAUCCCGGAGAAUCUCUUGAACCGCUUGGUUCUGUAGUGAAAGACGGUUUUGCGGUCACUUAUACAUGGAUCCGCUCUGCUUGAGCGAGUUGGUGAGGUAACGGCUUACAAAGGUAGCGAUGCGUAGCCGAGAUGAGGGGGUGAUCGGGCACACUGGGACUGGGACACGGUCCAGACUCCGACGUGAGGCAGAAGUAGGGAAUGUUGGGAGAUGGGCGGAAGACUGAAGGAGCAACGCAGCGUGGGUGAUGAAGGUCUUCGGAUCGUAUAACGCUGUUAUUAGUGAAGACCACAUGUGUAAGGAACUAUGCACGUCGUGACGGUACCUAAUCAGAAAGCAACGGCUAACUACGUG